AUGAACGCUAGCUACAGGCUUAACACAUGCAAAGGUCCGAGGGGGAAAACGAUAUUGGAAGCUUGCUUCCGAUAGGCGUCGACCGGCGCACGGGUGAGUAACGCGUAAGCAACCUGCCCUUCAGAUGGGGACAACAGCUGGAAACGGCUGCUAAUACCGAAUACGUUCUCUUUAUCGCAUGGUAGAGGGAAGAAAGGGAGGCUCUUCGGAGCUUUCGCUGGAGGAGGGGCUUGCGUCUGAUUAGCUAGUUGGAGGGUAACGGCCCACCAAGGCGACGAUCAGUAGCCGGUCUGAGAGGAUGAACGGCCACAUUGGGACUGAGACACGGCCCAGACUCCUACGGGAGGCAGCAGUGGGGAAUCUUCCGCAAUGGACGAAAGUCUGACGGAGCAACGCCGCGUGAACGAUGACGGCCUUCGGGUUGUAAAGUUCUGUUAUACGGGACGAAUGGCGUAGCGGUCAAUACCCGUUACGAGUGACGGUACCGUAAGAGAAAGCCACGGCUAACUACGUG
rnacentral:rRNA from 1 species